AUGGAGUUAGGACUGAGCUGGGUUUUCUUUGCUGCUCUUUUACAAAGUGUUCUGUGUGAAGUGCAGCUGGUGGAGUUUGGGGGAGGCUUGGUGAAACCUGGAGGGUCCUUGAAACUCUCCUGCAUAGCCUCUGGAUUCACCAUCGAUGGCUAUGGCAUGAGUUGGGUCCGCCAGGCUCCAGGGAAGGGGCUGGAGUGGGUGGCAAAGCUUGUGGAAAGCACAUAUUAUGCAGACCCUGUGAAAGGCCGAUUCACCAUCUCCAGAGACAAUGAGAAGAACACUGUGUCCCUGCAAAUGAGCAGUCUGAGAUCUGAGGACACGGCCAUGUAUUACUGUGCAAGACCCACAUGCCCCAUUAUCAUGACUGCAUUUAAAUCAGUUCUCACUACAGUGAAGCUGCAGCAUGAAAUAGACCCAAAGCCUACCUCCUUCACACCAGUAGACCAUUCACAUUCAUCCUUAUCCCCCAUCAUCCCGGCUCUGCUGAUCCAGGGGACAUUCAGCCUGAUGCAUCCUCAGGCGGAAGGUUAA